AUGGAGUAAGUGUUGGUGUAGCAUACAUGGCAACACGCUGAACAAUUUCCGCAUACUUGUCUUGCAGAUCAGCAUGAAUUCCAGAUCCUCCAUGCCCUCCCACACCUACAAAUCAUUCAAACAUCUUUUACGGUAACCCAUGGACCUGACCUUGCAUAUUGAUGUAAACUAAGUGGGCCAGGCAAAGGGCCACAGCACCAGGUGGGGGCCAGGGAAGGGGGUGAAGCAUGACUGGCACGAUUGGCUUCUGCAGCAAGUCAGCCAGACACAGCUCCCUGCUGCACAACUGUGAUGCUACAUAGCGCGCAGACAGGCAGGCAACCACCACCUUUGAAAAUAAAUUUUCAUAAUUACAAUUA